rnacentral:rRNA from 1 species
UGCGUAGGCGGAUCUGUAAGUGCUUUGUGAAAUCCCAUGGCUCAACCAUGGAAUUGCUCGGCAGACUGCAGAUCUUGAGGUCGGUAGGGGGCUGCUGGAACUCUAGGUGGAGCGGUGAAAUGCGUAGAUAUCUAGAGGAACGCCGAAGGUGAAGACAGGCAGCUGGGCCGAUUCUGACGCUGAGGCACGAAAGCGUGGGGAGCAAACG